UUGCCGAGGCUUAUUGUGAACGAAAGAGGAGUCGAGGUCGAUCCUGCUAAAAAAAAAAAAAAAAANAAAAAAACGGGAAGAAAAAAAAAAGAGAAAAAGAAAAAUAAUGUAAGAAAUGCCUGAACCGAAAACAAAAAGAGAUCAAACGGUCAGGUAGGAUAAUGAUUGCCAAGGGGCAUUAGAUAAAAGAAUGAGUAGUAGGAACCUCUGAUUCUGGUACCUCCCGUGGAAGAAACAA
rnacentral:lncRNA from 1 species